rnacentral:rRNA from 1 species
UGCGACCCCAGGUCAGGCGGGGCUACCCGCUGAGUUUAAGCAUAUCAAUAAGCGGAGGAGAAGAAACUUACAAGGAUUCCCCUAGUAACGGCGAGCGAACCGGGAAGAGCCCAGCUUUAAAAUCGAGCGGCGUUGUCGUUUGAAU